UAUCUGGUGAAUUCAGAGGAAAACACGAUUCAAAUAAAGCACUAAGUGGAAAUGAAUUGUAUAGAGGAAUGACUGAAAUGGUUGGUAUGGCCACAAACACAGCCCAGCUGGACAUCUGGAAACACUUUUGACCAGAUUCCAAAGAACAAUGAGUGUGUCUACAGAUAUUACAUUGAUGGCAUGCCCUUAUCCCAGAGAAGAGGAUUUUUGUGAAUGAGCCUGACUGGAUGCAUUGUCCUUGGAGCUGUCUUGAAAAACAGGUGCGCCUGGCUCAGUUACGCAGGUGCAAGAUGUCUCAAGAGCAGUGAAAUUUUAUGCUCAACAAUUUUGACAACCCAUGCUCUGGAUGAACGAGCAGGGAAUUCUGUCCUUUUUUUUUUUUAUUAAUUAACUGGUGGAUCAAUUAAUAAUUGCCAGAUAGAAAAAAUAGCUUGACUUCUGAGACUCCAACUGUCAUAUUCUAAAUUUAGGCUUGAGUUUUACAAAACGCAAGCCUGUCUUAAUGUGUUCCAUAAAAGCCUUUUAAAAUAUACUUACUUGGGAUGACCCAACUUCCUUGAAAAAUAAACCAGAGAAAUUGAAUGGAUUUUAUUUUAAUAUUAAAGAAUGUCAUAAGGAA